rnacentral:rRNA from 1 species
AUUGAACGCUGGCGGCAGGCUUAACACAUGCAAGUCGAGCGGGGGAGGUUGCUUCGGUAACUGACCUAGCGGCGGACGGGUGAGUAAUGCUUAGGAAUCUGCCUAUUAGUGGGGGACAACAUCUCGAAAGGGAUGCUAAUACCGCAUACGUCCUACGGGAGAAAGCAGGGGACCUUCGGGCCUUGCGCUAAUAGAUGAGCCUAAGUCGGAUUAGCUAGUUGGUGGGGUAAAGGCCUACCAAGGCGACGAUCUGUAGCGGGUCUGAGAGGAUGAUCCGCCACACUGGGACUGAGACACGGCCCAGACUCCUACGGGAGGCAGCAGUGGGGAAUAUUGGACAAUGGGCGCAAGUCUGAUCCAGCCAUGCCGCGUGUGUGAAGAAGGUCUUCGGAUUGUAAAGCACUUUAAGUUGGGAGGAAGUUCAGUAAGUUAAUACCUUGUUGAAUUGACGUUACCGACAGAAUAAGCACCGGCUAACUCUGUGCCAGCCGCCGCAGUAAGAC